CUGCCUCUUCAGCCUUCUCCCCGCAACCCUAUCUCUUAGGCCUCAUUUGGCGCGAGUGGGUUGAGGGGGUUUCGAGAGGAUUUUCCUCGCGUGGGCCAGAAACCCCGAGAAACCACGUUGGCCCAUUUGGUACAGGGGGUUUGUAUGCGCUAAUCCUCUCUAAUCCACGCGAAACCACGCGAAACCACGCGGCUCGAAACCCUCGUCGAGCGACUCAGGGAGUCGCUCGUCCCAUCGCACGCCGCCAGCGAGAGGAAGAGACGUCGCCGCCGCUACCACCGAGGGGAAGAGCCCCGCCGCCGCCACCGAGGGGAAGAGCCCCGCCGACGAGAGGAGGAGCCCCACGCCGCCGCCCGACUCUGCCCGACACCGGCGUUACUCCUCCAGCAUACUGGCCUUAUCCCCGGUGCCUGCCGCUUCGAUUAUUGUGGGGGUGGACGAAUUACCUCCGUCUUGGGAUUCAGUUGUCACGCCUAACUUCGGGAUCUGAUCUCGCGGAAGACGGGUGACCACUUUGCUGCCACAAGUCUCCUUCACACCGUGUAGCCCGCAAACAUGUCUCGGAGCAUUUGCCGAUCAUAUUUAUGUUGUAAUGAACCGUUAACUUUCGUUGAUCGAACAUCUUGUAUUUUUCAUUUGGACCGUGGCAUGUAUGCAUGUAACAUUUCAUUUGAACAGUUGAUAGUACAUGCAACAGAUUAUACAA